rnacentral:rRNA from 1 species
AUGGAUCGGUCCAUGAAGGUCUUUGUGGUCGUCUUCCUGCUUCUUGUGGCCACAGGGUUCCAGGGAGCAGUGCAGGUAGCUUUGGCGAGGGAUUGUAGGUCACAGAGCAAAACGUUUGUGGGGCUGUGCGUGAGCGACACCAACUGUGCAAGUGUUUGCCUGACCGAGCAUUUCCCCGGAGGCAAGUGCGACGGCUAUCGGCGAUGUUUCUGCACCAAGGACUGCUAG